UCCCGUCUCUGUCACACACAGAAGACACAAGCAAACACGGGAGAUCUUUGGUUAAAGAGCAGCUAAAUCAAGUUCUACCCAGAGCUAGCCAAACCGGUCAGUUUCAGUUUCACCUCACCUAAGGGAGCCAUUGAUCUUCAGCUUGCAAGCCCACCCGCUCUUUUCCGAUCCUGUUGCACUAUCUUGUACCUUGGCAUCCCAUUUUGGGAGCUGAUCCUGGAGCCAAGCCAUCCCUAAGCACGGCUUGGGGGUUGGGAGGAGACCUAAACUCAUCCAACAGGUAGGGGGGGCAGAGGCUGGCCUCCCAAGCCUUACGUUGAGCCCCUAUUUUGCAUGGGCGAGCGUCCUUCUCAUUAUAGAGAGAACUCAAUUUUCAAGGCAAAAUCCUCAGACCUCGAUGGCAGGCGACAAGCGCCAUCCUAACACUGGCCUGUGGUGGACCUCUGCAAGGAGUCGCAGCGACAAUGCUCGGACCCUGAGGCAGGGAGAAGAAAAGGAUGCAGAUUUACUUAUUUUAUUGUUUAUGUGUAUGAGCAUAUGUGCAUUAUGUUCAUGCUUGGUACCCUGGAGGAUGGUGCCAGAAGAGGGCUUCAGAUCCCCUGAAACUGGAGUUACAAAGAGUUGCAAGGUGCCAUGUGGGUGCCAGGAACGGGACCCAGGAUCUCUGAAGAGCAAUAAGUGUACUUAAUCACCGAGCCAUCUCUCCAGCCUUGAUCUCUGCUUGUGGCUCAAGAUGUGCGCUGUCGCCUUGCUGCUAGUGCCGCCAAUGACUGCCUGAUGCUGUGCCUCCCUGCCAUGAUAGUUACGGACUAGGAUCCCCUUGGAAUUAUGAUUCCAAAGAAACCUUAUUUUCACCUCUA